rnacentral:rRNA from 1 species
GCCUACGGGAGGCAGCAGUGGGGAAUAUUGCGCAAUGGGCGAAAGCCUGACGCAGCGACGCCGCGUGAGGGAUGAAGGUCUUCGGAUCGUAAACCUCUGUCAGCAGGGAAGAACGGUCACUGUGCUAAUCAGCAGUGAAUUGACGGUACCUGCAAAGGAAGCACCGGCUAACUCCGUGCCAGCAGCCGCGGUAAUACGGAGGGUGCGAGCGUUAAUCGGAUUUACUGGACGUAAAGCGCUCGUAGGCGGUAUUUCAAGUCAAGGGUGAAAUCCCCGCGCUCAACGUGGGAACUGCCUUUGAAACU